rnacentral:lncRNA from 1 species
UAACUUUGGAGCUGAAGGUACCAUUGAUUUAAUCGUCGUAUGGUAACAUAGUCAUCAAAUUCACGUUCCAACUUUAAACUCAGACUUAUCAUCGUGUUCCUAAAGCGAUACCUAUAAGGUAUCGCUUUAGGUGUUCCAACCUGGUUGAAAUCCAGAAUACCUUCGUAUUGAAAUCCAGAAUACGAAGGUAGUACUUAUUAGCUUAUUAGCUUAGUCUACAGCUUAUUCUACUGUAUUAACUGUAUGUGUAAGAGGCUGGUUCGAGGAUAAGUUUCCCAUUUUUCGUGCAACGCGGGGGCCCUGUGGCCUAUUAUUACAGCAGUGUCAGGAGAGGCGUAAAUUCAUGCAUGGUAAACAAUUUUCGGCAUCGUUUCGAGCUCAGCGCGACGCGGCUAUGCCGACCACCUGGGGACGGACGCGCUGCACCACACCGCACACACCGCAUAUAUCUACGUGACUAUCCGGGCACUGGCUGUAGAGGCGUUCAUAACUAGCUACUAGCUAGCGCUAGCUAGUAGCUACUAGCUAGCUAGCUAGCUACUAGCGCUAGCUAGCUAGCUAGUGGGGGAACGUUAUGUGACUACCGGUGACUAUUCAAUAUAUAGUCAAAAAAUUUAAAUAGUUCAUAACGUUCCCCAACUAGCUACUAGCUAGCUGAGCUAGCUAACUAACUCUAGUUAGCUAAGUGCUACCUUCGCAUCAAAUUGCGUGAUUUUGAAAGGAAUGUCUCAGAAGUUCCGACCAAUCAACCUGAAAAGAAUUCGAGCCCGAACCUGCCUUAUAUUUUAGUCUAACCUUUAUUUUAUCAGUCUAUGAGUAUGAGUAUUUCAUAGACUAGUAUUUCGAUAGUCUAUUUAUUUAUCACCUGUAAAAGAUCCGAACGAAGUAAGGUAUUCUAUAAGGACUUCUCAAGAAAAAAGGAAAAUUUGCAAAAGCGGCGGCGCUGCGUUGGAGCGAGAUGGACGAAUCGAGUCAGCACAAAGAGCAUCGCCCGCCGCGCACGGGUGGUAAGGCAAAACAGAGGGGGAAGAGUGGAAAAACGAAAGUAAUUGAUGAAGGAAAAUUACAGGGUAAAAAUCCGCGAGCGUUCAUCUUCAAGUCUUCUUCGAAGGCGAAGAAGGCGAGGACGAUCGCAGCUGAGAAACAGCAACGCAAACUCCGCGUGCCCGUCGUCGAUCGGCAGUCAAACGAGCCGCCGCCGUACGUUGUCGUAGUGCAAGGACCACCAGCAUGCGGCAAAUCGACAGUUA